GGUUAAGCGACUAAGCGUACACGGUGGAUGCCCUGGCAGUCAGAGGCGAUGAAGGACGUGCUAAUCUGCGAUAAGCGUCGGUAAGGUGAUAUGAACCGUUAUAACCGGCGAUUUCCGAAUGGGGAAACCCAGUGUGUUUCGACACACUAUCAUUAACUGAAUCCAUAGGUUAAUGAGGCGAACCGGGGGAACUGAAACAUCUAAGUACCCCGAGGAAAAGAAAUCAACCGAGAUUCCCCCAGUAGCGGCGAGCGAACGGGGAGCAGCCCAGAGCCUGAAUCAGUGUGUGUGUUAGUGGAAGCGUCUGGAAAGGCGCGCGAUACAGGGUGACAGCCCCGUACACAAAAAUGCACAUGCUGUGAGCUCGAUGAGUAGGGCGGGACACGUGGUAUCCUGUCUGAAUAUGGGGGGACCAUCCUCCAAGGCUAAAUACUCCUGACUGACCGAUAGUGAACCAGUACCGUGAGGGAAAGGCGAAAAGAACCCCGGCGAGGGGAGUGAAAAAGAACCUGAAACCGUGUACGUACAAGCAGUGGGAGCACGCUUAGGCGUGUGACUGCGUACCUUUUGUAUAAUGGGUCAGCGACUUAUAUUCUGUAGCAAGGUUAACCGAAUAGGGGAGCCGAAGGGAAACCGAGUCUUAACUGGGCGUUAAGUUGCAGGGUAUAGACCCGAAACCCGGUGAUCUAGCCAUGGGCAGGUUGAAGGUUGGGUAACACUAACUGGAGGACCGAACCGACUAAUGUUGAAAAAUUAGCGGAUGACUUGUGGCUGGGGGUGAAAGGCCAAUCAAACCGGGAGAUAGCUGGUUCUCCCCGAAAGCUAUUUAGGUAGCGCCUCGUGAAUUCAUCUCCGGGGGUAGAGCACUGUUUCGGCAAGGGGGUCAUCCCGACUUACCAACCCGAUGCAAACUGCGAAUACCGGAGAAUGUUAUCACGGGAGACACACGGCGGGUGCUAACGUCCGUCGUGAAGAGGGAAACAACCCAGACCGCCAGCUAAGGUCCCAAAGUCAUGGUUAAGUGGGAAACGAUGUGGGAAGGCCCAGACAGCCAGGAUGUUGGCUUAGAAGCAGCCAUCAUUUAAAGAAAGCGUAAUAGCUCACUGGUCGAGUCGGCCUGCGCGGAAGAUGUAACGGGGCUAAACCAUGCACCGAAGCUGCGGCAGCGACGCUGAUGCGUUGUUGGGUAGGGGAGCGUUCUGUAAGCCUGUGAAGGUGUGCUGUGAGGUAUGCUGGAGGUAUCAGAAGUGCGAAUGCUGACAUAAGUAACGAUAAAGCGGGUGAAAAGCCCGCUCGCCGGAAGACCAAGGGUUCCUGUCCAACGUUAAUCGGGGCAGGGUGAGUCGACCCCUAAGGCGAGGCCGAAAGGCGUAGUCGAUGGGAAACAGGUUAAUAUUCCUGUACUUGGUGUUACUGCGAAGGGGGGACGGAGAAGGCUAUGUUGGCCGGGCGACGGUUGUCCCGGUUUAAGCGUGUAGGCUGGUUUUCCAGGCAAAUCCGGAAAAUCAAGGCUGAGGCGUGAUGACGAGGCACUACGGUGCUGAAGCAACAAAUGCCCUGCUUCCAGGAAAAGCCUCUAAGCAUCAGGUAACAUCAAAUCGUACCCCAAACCGACACAGGUGGUCAGGUAGAGAAUACCAAGGCGCUUGAGAGAACUCGGGUGAAGGAACUAGGCAAAAUGGUGCCGUAACUUCGGGAGAAGGCACGCUGAUAUGUAGGUGAAGUCCCUCGCGGAUGGAGCUGAAAUCAGUCGAAGAUACCAGCUGGCUGCAACUGUUUAUUAAAAACACAGCACUGUGCAAACACGAAAGUGGACGUAUACGGUGUGACGCCUGCCCGGUGCCGGAAGGUUAAUUGAUGGGGUCAGCGCAAGCGAAGCUCUUGAUCGAAGCCCCGGUAAACGGCGGCCGUAACUAUAACGGUCCUAAGGUAGCGAAAUUCCUUGUCGGGUAAGUUCCGACCUGCACGAAUGGCGUAAUGAUGGCCAGGCUGUCUCCACCCGAGACUCAGUGAAAUUGAACUCGCUGUGAAGAUGCAGUGUACCCGCGGCAAGACGGAAAGACCCCGUGAACCUUUACUAUAGCUUGACACUGAACAUUGAGCCUUGAUGUGUAGGAUAGGUGGGAGGCUUUGAAGUGUGGACGCCAGUCUGCAUGGAGCCGACCUUGAAAUACCACCCUUUAAUGUUUGAUGUUCUAACGUUGACCCGUGAUCCGGGUUGCGGACAGUGUCUGGUGGGUAGUUUGACUGGGGCGGUCUCCUCCUAAAGAGUAACGGAGGAGCACGAAGGUUGGCUAAUCCUGGUCGGACAUCAGGAGGUUAGUGCAAUGGCAUAAGCCAGCUUGACUGCGAGCGUGACGGCGCGAGCAGGUGCGAAAGCAGGUCAUAGUGAUCCGGUGGUUCUGAAUGGAAGGGCCAUCGCUCAACGGAUAAAAGGUACUCCGGGGAUAACAGGCUGAUACCGCCCAAGAGUUCAUAUCGACGGCGGUGUUUGGCACCUCGAUGUCGGCUCAUCACAUCCUGGGGCUGAAGUAGGUCCCAAGGGUAUGGCUGUUCGCCAUUUAAAGUGGUACGCGAGCUGGGUUUAGAACGUCGUGAGACAGUUCGGUCCCUAUCUGCCGUGGGCGCUGGAGAACUGAGGGGGGCUGCUCCUAGUACGAGAGGACCGGAGUGGACGCAUCACUGGUGUUCGGGUUGUCAUGCCAAUGGCACUGCCCGGUAGCUAAAUGCGGAAGAGAUAAGUGCUGAAAGCAUCUAAGCACGAAACUUGCCCCGAGAUGAGUUCUCCCUGACUCCUUGAGAGUCCUGAAGGAACGUUGAAGACGACGACGUUGAUAGGCCGGGUGUGUAAGCGCAGCGAUGCGUUGAGCUAACCGGUACUAAUGAACCGUGAGGCUUAACCUU
rnacentral:rRNA from 1 species